rfam:Neotoma lepida isolate 417 scaffold_37625, whole genome shotgun sequence.
AUGGCUCAGUGGUUAAGAGCACUGACUGCUCUUCCAGAGGACCUGGGUUCAAUUCCCAGU